GGAUCCAGACUUGAUUAUGGCUCAGGAUGAACGCUAGCGACAGGCUUAACACAUGCAAGUCGAGGGGCAGCACGAUGUAGCAAUACAUUGGUGGCGACCGGCGCACGGGUGAGUAACGCGUAUGCAACCUACCUAUCAGAGGGGAAUAACCCGGCGAAAGUCGGACUAAUACCGCAUAAAACAGGGGUUCCACAUGGAAAUAUUUGUUAAAGAAUUAUCGCUGAUAGAUGGGCAUGCGUUCCAUUAGAUAGUUGGUGAGGUAACGGCUCACCAAGUCCACGAUGGAUAGGGGUUCUGAGAGGAAGGUCCCCCACACUGGUACUGAGACACGGACCAGACUCCUACGGGAGGCAGCAGUGAGGAAUAUUGGUCAAUGGGCGAGAGCCUGAACCAGCCAAGUCGCGUGAAGGAUGAAGGAUCUAUGGUUUGUAAACUUCUUUUAUAUGGGAAUAAAGUGAGGAACGUGUUCCUUUUUGUAUGUACCAUAUGAAUAAGCAUCGGCUAACUCCGUGCCAGCAGCCGCGGUAAUACGGAGGAUGCGAGCGUUAUCCGGAUUUAUUGGGUUUAAAGGGUGCGUAGGUGGUUAAUUAAGUCAGCGGUGAAAGUUUGUGGCUCAACCAUAAAAUUGCCGUUGAAACUGGUUGACUUGAGUAUAUUUGAGGUAGGCGGAAUGCGUGGUGUAGCGGUGAAAUGCAUAGAUAUCACGCAGAACUCCGAUUGCGAAGGCAGCUUACUAAACUAUAACUGACACUGAAGCACGAAAGCGUGGGGAUCAAACAGGAUUAGAUACCCUGGUAGUCCACGCAGUAAACGAUGAUUACUAGCUGUUUGCGAUACACAGUAAGCGGCACAGCGAAAGCGUUAAGUAAUCCACCUGGGGAGUACGCCGGCAACGGUGCAACUCA
rnacentral:rRNA from 1 species